GUUUCUGUGGUGUAGUGGUUAGCACAGUCACUUCCAACGUGACAGACUCGGGUUCAAUCCCCGAUGGAGACC